GAUGAGCAUGCGUCCCAUUAGCUAGUUGGUAAGGUAACGGCUUACCAAGGCUACGAUGGGUAGGGGUCCUGAGAGGGAGAUCCCCCACACUGGUACUGAGACACGGACCAGACUCCUACGGGAGGCAGCAGUGAGGAAUAUUGGACAAUGGGCGCAAGCCUGAUCCAGCCAUGCCGCGUGCAGGAUGACGGUCCUAUGGAUUGUAAACUGCUUUUAUACGAGAAGAAACAUCCCGACGUGUCGGGACUUGACGGUAUCGUAAGAAUAAGGAUCGGCUAACUCCGUGCCAGCAGCCGCGGUAAUACGGAGGAUCCAAGCGUUAUCCGGAAUCAUUGGGUUUAAAGGGUCCGUAGGCGGUUUAAUAAGUCAGUGGUGAAAGCCCAUCGCUCAACGGUGGAACGGCCAUUGAUACUGUUAAACUUGAAUUAUUAGGAAGUAACUAGAAUAUGUAGUGUAGCGGUGAAAUGCUUAGAGAUUACAUGGAAUACCAAUUGCGAAGGCAGGUUACUACUAAUGGAUUGACGCUGAUGGACGAAAGCGUGGGUAG
rnacentral:rRNA from 1 species